GACAGCAAGAUUAUUACAUUAACUCUGUGUGAUAAGGCGCAUUGUACAAUUUACAGAGUAUGGUUGCCGUACUACUUUUGUUAAUGAUUACGUUAUCCCCAGUACUCAGUACUAGUAGGACAGUGGUUAGCUUACAAGUUCAUUGCAUACUGGGAGCGACCGCACUUGGACAAAAGCCAAGGAUAUCUUAACUAUGCAGUGCGCCCUCUGGUGAUACAUUGAUACAUCUGGGUGGUAUACUGACAACUCUCUACUUAAUUGCAUGCGAUUCAUUGGAGAUUGUGACAGAAAAAUAAUGUUAUAGCGAUAUAAGGUAAAGAUGAUAUAACUGGUCGUGAUCUCAAUGACCUAGAAUGCUCGAGAAAAUCGUGCAACUUUGGAUGUACACUUAGUUACUGUGAUAGAGUUACACUUAUUUAAAGAAACUUUGAAUACAUAUCCAGAAGAAUUUUCAAAAGAAUUCAAGGAUAAAACACAAGUGACAUUAAAUCUU
rnacentral:lncRNA from 1 species